rnacentral:tRNA from 1 species
GGGCCUGUGGUGACAGUGGUAACACAUUUCGUUAGCAACGAAAAGAUCUGGGUUCGAUUCCUAGCUGGUCCA